rnacentral:rRNA from 1 species
UACAGAGGUCUCAAGCGUUGUUCGGAUUCAUUGGGCGUAAAGGGUGCGUAGGCGGCGCGGUAAGUCGGGUGUGAAAUCUCGGAGCUUAACUCCGAAACUGCAUUCGAUACUGCCGUGCUUGAGGACUGGAGAGGCGAGUGGAAUUCCUGGUGUAGCGGUGGAAUGCGCAGAUAUCAGGAGGAACACCAAUAGCGAAGGCAGCUCGCUGGGACGGUACUGACGCUGAGGUGCGAAAGCGUGGGGAGCAAACAGG